CAGCAGCCGCGGUAAUACGUAGGGUGCAAGCGUUAAUCGGAAUUACUGGGCGUAAAGCGUGCGCAGGCGGUGUUGUAAGACAGAUGUGAAAUCCCCGGGCUCAACCUGGGAACUGCAUUUGUGACUGUAUAGCUAGAGUACGGCAGAGGGGGAUGGAAUUCCGCGUGUAGCAGUGAAAUGCGUAGAUAUGCGGAGGAACACCGAUGGCGAAGGCAAUCCCCUGGGCCUGUACUGACGCUCAUGCACGAAAGCGUGGGGAGCAAACAGGAUUAGAUACCCGGGUAGUCCCUGUCUCUUAUAC
rnacentral:rRNA from 1 species